ensembl:lncRNA
ACAAUCUCGAGGUACUCGGACCAAAACUUGGCAUUUACAAUUGAUGACUUACACUCACACUUUAUAAGAGAUUUCCAUCCAUUAUCUGACAUUUAUUGCAGUGGCAGAAGGCCAAAGUAAUCAUAAUAUCAAACUCCAGUAGCUGGGCUGGAACUAUCUCAGUUUGAUUAUCUGUAGGUGAAUCGUACGGGUGGCAAAUCACCAGAUUGUCAAAACACAACGACGUCGAGCCAAAACUUCAACCUACAAAUUACACGGUUCAAAACGUAAUUAUUAUGUCUUGACAGAAUAGGUUGCAUCAUGAUGUUUGAAUACUACUGAUAAUAAAAUCCUUGUGCAUUGUAUGAAAUUACUUACUGACACAAACAAGACACAAAUCACCUUUACUGUUAGUCCUGGGAGUUUCAUUCCCCUUCAUGCUCAUCGGGGUACUUUUAUAGAUUUUCUCAUCCACAGAAGAAAGUAUAGAAACCCUUUGUCCCCCGAGUAGCAACUGACAAACACAAGCAGUCCAGCAAAGACAACAAGCAGAGAAAAGGAAAAGGAAUUCCAUUGGUAUCCAUCUUGAAUGUGACAGACAGCGCUGUGUUCACUUCCUCUGGCUGGAAAGGUUGAGUCCCCGGAGACCUCAGAAUGAGCUUUGAGCUUUGUUUUCCUUCAGAAGCUAACCUGCCUGGAUGGACCAGGAAAACAUCCUCCGUGUAGGAAACAUGAUUAAUUUCAAAAAGCACAAAAGAAAGCAAGAACAGGCGAAGAAGAAGAGAACAGCAGGACAGGGGAUCUUCAGGAGUCCCUCUUACCCAAGAGAUGUAGCUGGUUUUCUCCAGAAGGCACACACUAAAGAAUCACAAGGAUGCUCAUCUCCCUUUGAUGUCUUUCUGUGAUGAGAUAUAAACCCUGAUGGCAAUAACAGACCUCUUUGAACAAUAAAAAAUCGAAUCUCAGCGUAACAACACCAAAGGCACGGCGAGGCAGUGCUUUUGUAAACAAGCUGUUCCCUGGAGUGGAUGAAGCUGCAUCUGCAGGGUCGCUGAUGCUGAGCUGGAUCACACAUAGAUCCUCCACUGCCCUAUAGUAAACACACGAUAUUACUGUCUCCUUAUCAGUAGACAUGUUUCAAUGAGUUAUAGAUGUUUAACGCACUUAGCGCAGUGUACUAACCUUGGAAUGUGUGCCAUUUCGUCAGCGUUGCGCUUCCUGUAAUUUCCUUUUCCUGUAUUUUUUCGCUAUAAUGUAAGUACUUGUUAAUCUAAACGUGCACACACACAUUCACACAAACUCUCAAUUGAUAUAAAUGCAAUGCUGCGCAAUUACAGAUAAGCUUGACUUGAUACUUAUUCCGAGAACUGGACCAGAAAAGUCUGGAAGUAUCAGUUUCCAUGGUAACUUAGCUCAAGUUGCUUUGUGGGACUCGACGGUAUGGAAAUGAGGCUGAUAUACUGACACAGUACGCCUUGCUCGACUGGGCUUCUGCCUCACUCCUCUAGUACACAGGAAGGUAUAAGAUACACUGCAGGUGUUGCACCAGGAUUAACCCUUUAGCUCAGUGUUGCCACUCAUGUUGAAGUAAAGUGUGUGAUUAAGAUGGAUGACAGUGAUUUGAAGACUUGUGUUUGAUCGUGCCGCAGCUACACUGAAGCUUUUGAAAUACAAUCUGACAUGUAGACAACAGUUCACUCCCAUUGUACGACUGUACUCACAGCAUCUGAUAUUAACAGUCUAAGAUGCUUUGAUUUUCUAUUUUUAAUAUUUUAUUAAACAUGUUUUUUUGCAGUACUCAUCUACUAUACAUGCAUCCAUCAAAGUACAGUAGUUCUUUUGGGGUUAACUAGGCUUUUACUCUUGGAUUUAAAUUAUUUAUCCUUUUACCUUUUUAGCUUUUAUUUCUUUCAUUUCAGAGCCGCAUGUUUCAAUGCCUGUAAUUGUAAGCGUGAAUGUAACUGUGAAGUUCUGCUUUAACUGGCUUUUGUAUACAGUACAAGGUUAUUGUGCAAAAGACAACUGUCACCUUUAAUGUCAACACC